GACGAACGCUGGCGGCGUGCUUAACACAUGCAAGUCGAGCGGUAAGGCCCUUUCGGGGGUACACGAGCGGCGAACGGGUGAGUAACACGUGGGUGACCUGCCCUUAGCUCUGGGAUAAGCCUGGGAAACUGGGUCUAAUACCGGAUAUGACUCCAUGACGCAUGUGUGGGGUGGAAAGCCUUGUGCGGCUAGGGAUGGGCCCGCGGCCUAUCAGCUUGUUGGUGGGGUGAUGGCCACCAAGGCGACGACGGGUAGCCGGCCUGAGAGGGCGACCGGCCACACUGGGACUGAGACACGGCCCAGACUCCUACGGGAGGCAGCAGUGGGGAAUCUUGCGCAAUGGGCGAAAGCCUGACGCAGCGACGCCGCGUGAGGG
rnacentral:rRNA from 1 species